rnacentral:lncRNA from 1 species
ACCCCACGCACCGUUUGAUGCAUAUAUGACUUUCAGGUGGUUCGCUGUAUAUACUGUAAUCAUUUACAAUCCAACCCACCCACCGUCUGAUGCAUAUAUGACUUUCAGGUGAUUCGCUGUAUAUACUGUAGUCAUUUACAAUCCACCCCACCCACCGUUUGAUGCAUAUAUGACUUUCAGGUGAUUCGCUGCAUAUACUGUAGUCAUUUACAAUCCAACCCCACCCACCGUUUGAUGCAUAUAUGACUUUCAGGUGAUUCGCUGCAUAUACUG